rnacentral:rRNA from 1 species
UACGUAGGGUGCGAGCGUUUAAUCGGAAUUACUGGGCGUAAAGCGUGCGUAGGCGGUCCGCAAAGUCUGAUGUGAAAGCCCCGGGCUCAACCUGGGAACUGCAUUGAAACUAACGGGCUCGAGUGUGGCAGAGGGGGGUGGAAUUCCACGUGUAGCAGUGAAAUGCGUAGAGAUGUGGAGGAACACCGAUGGCGAAGGCAGCCCCCUGGGCUAACACUGACGCUCAGGCACGAAAGCGUGGGGAGCAAACAGG